CGCAAUCUCAUCAUGAUCCGACCUGUGAUCCAAUCACGAUUCAUCCCGAUCCAGUGCUGAACGGACGACACCUCCGCGUUCAGCACAUGUGCAGCUUGAUGACGAUUACCGCCUUCUUGAUAAAACAAGAGAGGAAGGAGAAGUAGAUGGGAUCUCAACGAGCACGACGACAUGGUAGAGAUGAUGGUGGAGCAGUGCGAGCAGGGCUUCAUCAAGCGCUAUCGGAACCGAUCUGAGGAGAAAACGAAGUUAUGGGAGAGGUAGGGCUGCCCCUGGGGCGUGG
rnacentral:lncRNA from 1 species